rnacentral:rRNA from 1 species
AGAGGCGGACGGGUGAGUAACGCUUGGGAAUCUGCCUAUUAGUGGGGGACAACCCGGGGAAACUCGGGCUAAUACCGCAUACGCUCUACGGAGGAAAGCCGGGGACCGCAAGGCCUGGCGCUAAUAGAUGAGCCCAAGUCGGAUUAGCUAGUUGGUAGGGUAACGGCCUACCAAGGCGACGAUCCGUAGCUGGUCUGAGAGGACGACCAGCCACACUGGGACUGAGACACGGCCCAGACUCCUACGGGAGGCAGCAGUGGGGAAUAUUGGACAAUGGGGGAAACCCUGAUCCAGCGACGCCGCGUGGGUGAAGAAGGCCUGCGGGUUGUAAAGCCCUUUCGGUGGGGAAGAAAAGCCUCGACCUAACACGUCGGGGUAUUGACGUAACCCACAAAAGAAGCACCGGCUAACUCUGUGCCAGCAGCCGCGGUAAUACAGAGGGUGCGAGCGUUAAUCGGAAUUACUGGGCGUAAAGCGCGCGUAGGCGG